rnacentral:rRNA from 1 species
UACGGGGGGGGCAAGCGUUGUUCGGAAUUACUGGGCGUAAAGGGCUCGUAGGCGGCCAACUAAGUCAGACGUGAAAUCCCUCGGCUUAACCGGGGAACUGCGUCUGAUACUGGAUGGCUAGAGGUUGGGAGAGGGAUGCGGAAUUCCAGGUGUAGCGGUGAAAUGCGUAGAUAUCGUCUGGAACGCCAAAGGUGAAAACAGACUGCUGGGAGUGUGCUGACGCUGAGACACGAAAGCCAGGGGAGCAAACGGG